CCUACGGGUGGCAGCAGUGGGGAAUAUUGGACAAUGGGCGAAAGCCUGAUCCAGCCAUGCCGCGUGUGUGAAGAAGGCCUUCGGGUUGUAAAGCACUUUCAGUGGGGAAGAAAGCCUUGGGGCUAAUACCCUCGAGGAAGGACAUCACCCACAGCAGAAGCACCGGCUAACUCCGUGCCAGCAGCCGCGGUAAUACGGAGGGUGCGAGCGUUAAUCGGAAUUACUGGGCGUAAAGCGCGCGUAGGCGGUCUGAUAAGCCGGUUGUGAAAGCCCCGGGCUCAACCUGGGAACGGCAUCCGGAACUGUCAGGCUAGAGUGCAGGAGAGGAAGGUAGAAUUCCCGGUGUAGCGGUGAAAUGCGUAGAGAUCGGGAGGAAUACCAGUGGCGAAGGCGGUCUUCUGGACUGACACUGACGCCGAGGUGCGAAAGCGUGGGUAGCAAACAGGAUUAGAUACCCUAGUAGUC
rnacentral:rRNA from 1 species